CCCAGUAAUUCAGAAAUCCUGCAGUCAUAGGGACUGCCCUGUCAUGUGACUUAGGUACUAGGUGCUGGCUGCUAUUGGUCAGCAGCUAAUUGGCGGGUCCCUAUAAGAGGUCCAGGGCCAGGCGUCUGGCCACUCUCCUGCCUGGGCUGCUUGCUCAAUGGGGGAGGGGGGCGUCCAGUGUUUGAGCCACAUGUGAUAGAUGACCAAGUGACCUCUUCCUUGGAGUCCACACACCAGUGGAAGACACACAAACUGGUUGUGGCCGACUUGAUCAAAUGCUGGCAUCUGAACUGGAAUGAAAUGCAGAUAACUCUUUAUAAAACUUGUAGGAAAAGCGGCUCAUGUGAUGUGGAACAAAGACAUUUUAUAAUCAGAUUUAUCAAGCUGCGAAGUGGGAGUUUUAGCGAACGGAAGCAGCAGCAUUCUGUCACCAGGAAAUACUGCUUUAUCCAGAAUUGGUUUGACCACAGCAGCAAAAGCAAUGAAAAUGUUUUAUGGUUUUCAGCAUGAAAUAUGAAGUCUACAUUAAUAGUAGGCAUCCUUGGGCCUCUGCCUCACUUCUUCCUGGUAUCCUGGACAUGAUAUCUGUUCCUGCUCAUCUCUAGUGAGACAAGGGACAUGCUCCUGAUAGACUGAGAGUCCCUUUGCUGAGGAGUCGACAGCAAGAGGAAUUCAGUCCCUGGGUGGUGCAAAUGGUUAACACUUUUGGCUGCUAACCAAAAGAUGGAAGUUCAGGUGCACCCAGAGGCACCUUGGAAGAACGACCUGGUGAUCUACUUCCAAAAAAUCAGCCAUUGAAAACCCUAUGGAGCACAGUUCUACUCUGACACACACAGGUCGGAAUUGACUCGGCAGCAACUGGUACAGAUAACCCUCACCUUAAUCUUAGACUAACCCCUCUUCAGAAGGUUGUAGAUCCGUCCAUGUGCUGGAAUGUGUAGUUGCCCCUCAAUGGCUCAGUAGCUAGUGUAGAUCCUGUCUUUUGUAAUCAGCAGCUACAUCUGGCUACUGGGUCUCUGAUGGCAUCUCCUAGCUUCUGUCACAGUGUCCUGAGCAAGGGUAUUGGGCAGUCCUUAAUAAUGAAAACUUUGAUUUACACACACGCACACACACAGAGUCAAGUUCUGGAAUGGUAAGUCUUCCAUUAUUAGUUGGAGUUUGGGAUUCAUCAAGGUUUUAUGGGUAAUGAGGUAUAUUUGAUUUCAGUACCACAGUGGGGAGGAAUCUGGAUAUUUUAUCUGUGGAUAGUUUUUCCAUUUUAUCUCCCUUCCUCUGUGGAAGGUAUCAUUUGGUCAAAAAACCAUUGUUAUCCGUGUGUGUGUGUGUGUGUUUGUGUGUGUGUGUGUGUGUGUAUACACAUAUGUGUAUGUAUGUAUCUAUAUAUGUAUUUAGUCUUCAUCUUUUGACAUUUAGAUGGCAUUUUUCAAAAUAACAUGGUAAUUAACAGCAACUUGAUGGCAUGAUUGUUUAAAGAAAUUUCACUUGUAAUAGGUACAUGCCAGCAACGCAUUCUGACUUUUUGGUUUUCUCUUCUUUCUCUGGAAGACAAAUACCAGAAAUCUUGAUUGCAGCAGGCAGUGGUACUAAAGGAAUAUGUGGGAUGACUCUUGCAGACAGAACAUCCAGGUCUGGGGCGUGAACCUGGCAUACAAUGUAGAUUUCUGUGUUUGUUGGGCAACAGCUACAUUGUCUGCUGGGUUUCAGGCUACCUGGAAACACAUUCUUCAUGGCCUUCUCAUCAGUACCUCACUUACAGUGUUUCUGACUGUUUUCCAGGAGGCAUACCCAUCAGGACAUAUCAUUAAACAGAGUGCAGAGAAAUGGACCCCAUAAAAACUGAUCACUUUUAGCCAAGAAUGGUUUCAUUAGGAUUUCACCCAAAGUAUUCUAACACACCAGCCUAGUAAAUGGAAUGAACCAGAGACAAGUUGGAAUUUUAUCCUUCCUUCUUGCCAGCUACAAUUCUCAAAGAUUGACUACGUGCAUGUUAUUAAUUACUAUUUUGUUUAUAUACAUAAUUACUAUCAAAAGGUGUAGCAGAAUGGGCCUAAUCAUACUGCCUUGCUACCUCGCUUGUUCCUUCUCAUUUUGGCUUCUCACACACCUGCAGGAACUUUUUAAAGUAGAAAAUGAAUGUAAGGAAUUAAAAGGUAAAUGUAUACAUGUGAAUUGGAGCAAUAAACUGUGUUUUUGUCAGAACAUGCUGAAUUCAAUAAAAAUAAAGCUCACUACUUGGAGCUUUUAAAAUGUA